rnacentral:rRNA from 1 species
CGGGUGGUAAUGCCGGAUGCUCCAGUUGAUCGCAUGGUCUUCUGGGAAAGCUUUCGCGGUAUGGGAUGGGGUCGCGUCCUAUCAGCUUGACGGCGGGGUAACGGCCCACCGUGGCUUCGACGGGUAGCCGGCCUGAGAGGGCGACCGGCCACAUUGGGACUGAGAUACGGCCCAGACUCCUACGGGAGGCAGCAGUGGGGAAUAUUGCACAAUGGGCGCAAGCCUGAUGCAGCGACGCCGCGUGAGGGAUGGAGGCCUUCGGGUUGUAAACCUCUUUUAUCGGGGAGCAAGCGUGAGUGAGUUUACCCGUUGAAUAAGCACCGGCUAACUACGUGCCAGCAGCCGCGGUAAUACGUAGGGUGCAAGCGUUAUCCGGAAUUAUUGGGCGUAAAGGGCUCGUAGGCGGUUCGUCGCGUCCGGUGUGAAAGUCCAUCGCUUAACGGUGGAUCCGCGCCGGGUACGGGCGGGCUUGAGUGCGGUAGGGGAGACUGGAAUUCCCGGUGUAACGGUGGAAUGUGUAGAUAUCGG